AUUGAACGCUGGCGGCAGGCUUAACACAUGCAAGUCGAGCGAGCGGCGGACGGGUGAGUAAUGUCUGGGAAACUGCCUGAUGGAGGGGGAUAACUACUGGAAACGGUAGCUAAUACCGCAUACCAUCAGAUGUGCCCAGAUGGGAUUAGCUAGUAGGUGGGGUAAUGGCUCACCUAGGCGACGAUCCCUAGCUGGUCUGAGAGGAUGACCAGCCACGCUUGAACUGUGCUACGGUCCAGACUCCUACGGGCGGCAGCAGUGGGGAAUAUUGCACAAUGGGCUCAAGCCUGAUGCAGCCAUGCCGCGUGUGGGAAGAAGGCCGUCGUGUUUUAAAGCACUUUCAGCGAGUAGGCGUUACUCGCAGAAGAAGCACCGGCUAACUCCGUGACAGCAGCCGCGGUAAUAC
rnacentral:rRNA from 1 species